rnacentral:sRNA from 1 species
CUACCAAGAGAAUAAAAACCUUCCAAUUUUGGAAGGAACCUACCAAAAACGGCAACACUGGUUUUUUAUUCUAACGAAAACAAUAGGGUUCACUCAUAAUGUCGUUCCAUGUCGCCCGGGUUCCUUGCGCACUCACAUAUUAACGAAUGAGAAUUUGACAUUUCUCCUAUCUGUUAGAGCUUUCUUGAACAUAUUAUUAUGAGUCUAUAGAUUUCACUUGCGAUUAAACAUUUGAAAUUAAUCAAUAUAUUAUGGUCAAUGAAUUUGUCAUUAUUUAAGUUAUUUUUCCCAAACGGGGAGGAGUCGGGCUAAUCUGACCAAGAGAAUGAACAUCUUUCAAUAAUCAAUAAAAAUCUUUCAUUUCUUUUAAGUUUUAAAACGCGUUAUGAAACGUUCGUAUGAAGCUUCUGUCCUAUAAAGACAGCUUCUUCAAACUGAACGAAACCAUACGAUAGAGAUAUUGGCAACAACAACAUCUGGUAAGGUUAGUAUAUGCAACUCCACCUACUCAAAGGUCUUUAUAAAACCACUGACAACCAAGCAGGGUUUUGUACCGUUUUUCCACUUCUCCUAAUAGAGCCCACUGCUGGUGGUGCAUUUAUGGUGUUUUUUUAUAUCCGAAAUCAUCGGAAAAAGGAGGUAUUUUUUAUACCAGACUUAAUGUAACGGUACUCAUGCAUUCAUCCGACUGUCAUCUUAAUAUCAAUUCAUUCAGCUAAUAGCGAUUUUGGAAAUUUGACAGGUCAUUUAUAAAUUGACCGAGGCAUUAAUUGGAGUUCUAGAGAACUGCCAUCUUCAUUUCAUAACUCAAUUGCAAGAAGUGACAUCUGUACCCUAAAUCAAAAACUACAGUGCGACUAGGCAGCACUGCUCAAAAAGCGCCAUCUGUGAUUGAAAAUCGUUAUAUUUGAAACACGAAAUGUUUUUAUUCUAACAACAGGGUUCACUUGCGAUAAGUCAUUUAAAUUGAAACAACAAAAACGAUUUAAUCCAUUAUGGUUGAUAUUUCUCCCAAAUGGCUGGUACUAUCUUCGUUUUUCACCGUUGAAACCCCUUGUUUUUCGUGACUUCUUUUUUGAAACACUACACAAGUAACAAUCUUACCAUAAGUAAUGAGGGAAAGUUCUACUGAAUUAAAUCAGCAACUUUUUUUUAGUUUGUUUUUAAAUCUUUUAUCUAAAAACAGUAGUCUGCGAAAAAAAAAAUUCGCUAUUUUUUCGAACGAAAUACAUAGUACCAGCCUAAAGAGAGAGAGAGUCGGGUUAAUAAUUGAUUGAUUGAUUGACUGAAAACAAUCAAUAAAAAUCCUUCAUUUUUUAUGGUGUUGGGAUCCAUUUGUGGUUUUCUGGUUGAUAUGCGAGUCAUAUUGGACUGGUUUGAUGUUAUACUAAGGGCAGAAUUAUCAAUGCAUCGCUGCCUGAGGGCUCGGUGAGGAAGGUUGUGGCCAAUGUGUCACACGGGGGCGAUCGCUUUCUCUCUACUGUCAUGGAUAUCCUUCAAGCCGCUUUGAGAAAGCCGUCGAGAUGAGCGAUAGCCAACGGGAUUGGCAUAAACCCCAGGAAGACAGAGCUGGUGUUGUUCACGAGAAGGAAGAGAUGUGGCGAGUUCAGCAGAUCGGUCCUUGAUGGAUUGGAGCUGCAGCUCUCUCCGGAGGCUUAAUACUUGGGCGUUAUUCUUGAUCAGGAAUUAAACUGGGGAAGAAAGGUCGAAAAGAGAGCCAAAAGGGGCUGAAUACGAUCUACUCAUGUCGCAAAACGGUAAGCAGGAGUUAGGCCGAGUACAGUAUACUGGAUUUACACUGCCUGCUAUGGCAUCAGGCUCUCGUGAAGGUGUCGUAUGCUGGAGAAAGUACAAGGUAUUGCGGCUGAUAUCGAGGAUGAAACCUUUGCACUCGUACGUGAAGUGCGCGACUUUGAAGACUGCCUUCAGACUGCUUUUUGGAUUUCUGGCAUUCGUGACAUUGGCCACGUGAUGGACUAUAUGCCGGGCGGAUCUUUCUUCGAUGGCGAUCUGAAGGUUGUGUUCCCGGUGAGGGAGCUUUGGGCUGGGGUUGUCCCAUCCUUCUUGGAUCGCUUCGUUUACACGGAAUGGUCCAAGCUGGAUGGAGGGAUGCAAGGGUUAUACCGUUGAGUCCCCAGGUAUAAGAGAGUCACACAGACUUCUGGAUGGUUGUAGUGUUUUUUAGGCAGAGGUUUUAGCGAUCCUUAGGGCCUUGGAUGUGAUCCUGAGACUGGAGCGGCGGUCCUGUCAGACUAUGACGAUUUAUGUGAACAGCUGAAGACCCUGGGUGCAGUUCACGUGAGAUCGAGGCCGGGGGCAUGUUGGACGUUUGGGGCCUGCUGUUAGAUUGUGCUCGGUUCCGGGCCAUCAAGUGGUGACGGGCCAUCAAGAGGCGGCUGACGAGCUGGUCAGGUUUGGGCUGCGGAUGGAUUCUGGAGUGCGACCCCGAUGGCGAAUCCUCCUUUAUGUUGGCUGUUUGGGAUGGUGGAUUUCUACUAUGACCAAUAUCCUGACUAGACGUGGGCUAGCGCUGUAGGCUUAAGGGUUGCCAAGGCUCUGUGGUUGUGAUGACCUUGGAUUGUUGGUGGGAGUCCUGCACGGCCACUGCGAUGUCAGACCGCGGACAUGACGAAGGGCUCGAAAAGAAGAGGAUUUCUGUAGCGUCUGUGGGGAUGAGGAGGAGUUAGAAACGAUUGAGCAGAUACGGUGCCAGUAGCCCGCGAUGACGGGAAGAAGGCGUAGAAUUAUGAGCUCUUAACGUUCUUUCGACACCUCGAAUCAUUCUGGAAUUCUGCAAGGAUCUGAGAUGGCUGACGGGCGGCCCUCUAGUCAGACAAACACAAUGAACCCGAGGUUUCCGAGCCGUUUAAGAAGCCGCAUCUUAAUAUGAACCGAUGCGGGCGAACGACCUUUAUCAAAUAAUAAACUUCAAAAAUUUUAGGCAGGUGCUUUACUCGUUUGAAUGAUCUGGGGCCCUUCUAUGCCAAUGCCUAGCAUUGAAGGUGGCCAGGUCACCACCUUGGUCAUUUGAUUUCAAUACUCCAUUUAUUUUUAUAUUUAACUUUGUCGAAAUUUUAAGAAUAAUGAUUUUUGAAAUAAUCUAAUAUGUUAAGAACAUUAAAUUUA